AUUGAAACACCGGUUCCCGUACGAUCACCGAAGUUAAGCAAAGUCGAGCCUGAUCAGUACCUAGAUGGGUGACCGCUUGAAUAUCAGGUACUGUAAG